rnacentral:rRNA from 1 species
AUCUGCAGCCAUGCUACCCUGAACAAGCCCAGUCCUCUCUGAUCUCAGAAGCUAAGCAGGGUUGGGCCUGGUUAGUAAUUGGAUGGGAGGCCACCUAGGAAGACCAGGUGCCAUAGACU